GGGCGGAUGGCACAGUGGUAGCGCGCUUGCUUCGCAUGCUUGAGUCAUCCUGGGAUGACAUGAGUCCUUGAGUUGCAUGAGGUCGUGGGUUCAAACCCCACUUCGUCCA